rnacentral:lncRNA from 1 species
UAGUAACGGUUUGCUUGGCAUUAAAAAACUAGCUCAGAGAUAUUGUUGCAAUGAACAUGGAAGUGCAGAUCACCCUUGGCUUAUUGGCUUCAUUUCCCCUGGCUGUGUACUCAGAAGUGAGCUUGCAGAUGAAGUAAAUGCAUGAACUUUCUAUAGCAUGAAGAGGCCUCUGCCUAGGACUUCAGACUCAGCUUGUAUUACAGUUCCUAAGGUUGAUGAAGACUUUAAGAAGUACUUCUGUGAAGCCCUUGACAGUGGACAAGAAUGCCAAGUCAGCCGCUCCUCGUAGAAGGCAAUGACAAUCUGAGGACACUUCAUGUUCGCCUCCUUUGCCAGCACCAAGUCGGCCUCGUCCGAGUCCUUCCACUUCAUGAGAAACAUUAACUCUCCGCUGCUGUCCGUGGCGCCGAUUAUUCGUUCAGGGUCGAGACCUCUGGCAAAGCCCCUUGGUUUGUCAGCAGCAUCUCUCUUCUUCUUCGAUUUGCUAUCAUCAGAUUCACUGUCAGAUAAAGAUUUCCUUUUUGUACCAUCUUUUUCUUUACCAGCUUUUUGAGAAUUAAGAAAUGCUUCAAUUAAUUCUGGACAAUCUAAAUUUUCUUCUGGUUCCCAAGUAUUAUCAGCAUCUGUG